UGUGUUUGGAGGGGGGUUAAAGAUCUAGUCCCCGGCAUUGUUAAGGUCCCUCCUCCUGCUUUGGGAAAUGGGAGGACUGGGAAGGCGUCGCAAAAAAAAGAAAAAAAAGAGCAGGAGGGAGGAGAGCUAGGGAAAGAAUUGUUUGAGAGCUCACUCAUCCAAAAACCUCCUUUCAGUGUGAGAACCUUUUUCGGGGGAGCACGCAGAGAAAAUGUCGCCGAAGUAAAUUCGUGAAACAACAACAACACGUGAAGAAAGCGACUUUGCUUGUUUUUCUUGUUGCAGAGGAGGACUACUGGUAAAAAAAGAAAAAAAAAAGAGUCCAGCUGAAGAUCGCUUUGCUGAGGGAAAACGAGGUGCAAGCGCUAAAUCGAGCAGUUUCGAAGGGUGUUGCAUGGAAGAUGUCUGGAAAACGUGACUGGACUCCAUGGAUGAGAAAAAGAAGCACCCCCGUGUUGUGCGCUCUGGGCGCAGUACUGCUAUGUUGCCUUCAGAGCAGUGCGUCCGUCUCUGACGAAGUCCCGGAGUUCACCGAGGAGCCCGGCUCGGUGGUGCAGAAGUUGGGAGGCAGCGUGAGCCUGCGCUGCGCCGCCCGUCCCGCCUCCGCCGCCAUCAGCUGGC